rnacentral:rRNA from 1 species
CGGGCUCAACCUGGGAACUGCAUUCGAAACUGGCAGGCUUGAGUCUUGUAGAGGGGGGUAGAAUUCCAGGUGUAGCGGUGAAAUGCGUAGAGAUCUGGAGGAAUACCGGUGGCGAAGGCGGCCCCCUGGACAAAGACUGACGCUCAGGUGCGAAAGCGUGGGGAGCAAACAGGAUUAGAUACCCUGGUAGUCCACGCCGUAAACGAUGUCUACUUGGAGGUUGUGCCCUUGAGGCGUGGCUUCCGGAGCUAACGCGUUAAGUAGACCGCCUGGGGAGUACGGCCGCAAGGUUAAAACUCAAAUGAAUUGACGGGGGCCCGCACAAGCGGUGGAGCAUGUGGUUUAAUUCGAUGCAACGCGAAGAACCUUACCUGGUCUUGACAUCCACAGAACUUUCCAGAGAUGGAUUGGUGCCUUCGGGAACUGUGAGACAGGUGCUGCAUGGCUGUCGUCAGCUCGUGUUGUGAAAUGUUGGGUUAAGUCCCGCAACGAGCGCAAC